rnacentral:rRNA from 1 species
AACUUUCAGCAAUGGAUCUCUUGGCUCUCGCAUCGAUGAAGAACGCAGCGAAACGCGAUAUGUAAUGUGAAUUGCAGAUCUACAGUGAAUCAUCGAAUCUUUGAACGCACCUUGCGCUCCUUGGUAUUCCGAGGAGCAUGCCUGUUUGAGUGUCA